ACAGCCACAUCAUGCUGAAACAUUGGUUCCCAUGCAAUCACUGAAGUAAAGCAACAUCAAGCCUGGUCAGUACUUCAAUGGGUGACCAAUUGGGAAUAUCAGGUGCC